AUGAAGCUGGAAUCGCUGUAAUCGCAGGUCAGCAUACUGCGGUGAAUACGUUCCCGGGUCUUGUACACACCGCCCGUCACACCAUGGGAGCCGGAAAUGCCCGAAGCCAGUGACCCAACCUUAGGGAGGGAGCUGUCGAAGGUGGAGCCGGUAACUGGGGUGAAGUCGUAACAAGGUAUC
rnacentral:rRNA from 1 species